AUUUUGUCUUGUUAGUGAUCAUUUAGAUAACAAUUGAUGGUAUAAACAUAUGACCCAUCCUUGGUGAAAUGCAGUCUGCCUUUUUUCUGAAGGUUAAGGUUGUAUUUCAUAAAUCGGUUUCUAUUUAUUGAUGGGGCAGGACUUAUAUUGAGGAGGGAGCCCACAUCUCCACUUAACACACUUUAACGGAUAUCAGAUAAAGUUCAAUUAUGCCUAAUGUUAUUUAUGAUAUUAUUGGAAGAGUGUUGUAUGUAAAUGGAGCACAGCUACUGUUCACUCCCCCAAUGAACAUGUCCAUCCUUCCUAAAACUGAAUCCUGAUGCGCUAAGACGAUUCUUUAGAAAACCGGUUGUAUACCUGACCUUUUCUUCUUGGUAAUCU